GCACCUGUAGCUCAGUUGGAUAGAGCAUCGGCCUUCUAAGCCGAGGGUCAGGGGUUCGAAUCCCUUCAGGCGCACCA
rnacentral:tRNA from 2 species